GCAGCAGCAGUAACAGCAGCAGCAGAGAUGACUUCACUGCAGCAGGUGAACCGCAGAGUGCUGGCGAUCAGAGAGUCCACAGUUCGCAGACUCUGGCUGCUCACAUCACACAGGGAGAAAAGAGACCGUUCCAGGAGGUGAUUGAUGUCAGUUCAUAUGAUCCCCAGGGGGCAGGGAUGGCGCCCAUCUCAUUAGUUCGCCAGGUUGUGUGUUCUGGUUCCUCCCGCCUCUCUGGACCAGGUCCUGGCUCGUCUUCAGUCUUUCCACCUACUUCUGCUGGAAAGGACACAAACGUGUGGAUAAACUCGAGCAUGGUUUUCAUGGUUGUCUCUUCUGACUUUUGUUACACAUUUCAAUGCAUUGUCAUCCAAAGACACUAAAAA